AAAAAAAAAUUAAUGUAUAUAAUAGUUUCUCUGAUAAUAUCUUUAAUAAGAAGUUUAAAACAUCGAGCAGCGUCUUCAUUGUUCCAAUGAAUGAAUUCAUAAACAUAAAAUUUGUAAAAAUGCCUACAAAAAAAUGUUUUUAGUAAAUAUAUUUUCAUGGAAUAUGAAACAAGUUCAUAAUUUGUCUUACAUUGAUCCAUACAAAAAAAAUAUUA